rnacentral:rRNA from 1 species
GUACUUACUCCUACGGGAGGCAGCAGUGGGGAAUUUUGGACAAUGGGGGCAACCCUGAUCCAGCAAUGCCGCGUGAGUGAAGAAGGCCUUCGGGUUGUAAACUGCUUUUGUACGGAACGAAACGGCGAGCUCUAAUACAGUUUGCUAAUGACGGUACCGUAAGAAUAAGCACCGGCUAACUACGUGCCAGCAGCCGCGGUAAUACGUAGGGUGCAAGCGUUAAUCGGAAUUACUGGGCGUAAAGCGUGCGCAGGCGGUUAUGUAAGACAGAGGUGAAAUCCCCGGGCUCAACCUGGGAACUGCCUUUGUGACUGCAUAGCUAGAGUACGGUAGAGGGGGAUGGAAUUCCGCGUGUAGCAGUGAAAUGCGUAGAUAUGCGGAGGAACACCGAUGGAGAAGGCAAUCCCCUGGACCUGUACUGACGCUCAUGCACGAAAGCGUGGGGAGCAAACAGGAUUAGAUACCCUAGUAGUCCAGGCAU